rnacentral:sRNA from 1 species
AAGACCUUAAUAAGGCCUGCCGUCUUGUA